AUGCCUGCAGGCUGUCGGUUCGAGGCCCCUGCUGGAGUGUCUGGGGUACAGAGGGGGGUGGCCCAGGCCUUCUCCCAUCCAUUGCCCUGUAGCCUUUCACUGAGGAGGACUUUGGGGUCUGGGAGCUCUGGGUUUGGAGGUGAGGUUAACAGUGGCCUCUGGAAGGGUGGGAACCUGCCUGCCACUGCGAGCAGGCCUAGCUGGGCACUCCCUGCUGUGGUUGGGGGGGUUGGGGCCUGGGAUGCGGUGGGGCUGGUGGGGCGGUGCGUUGAGUCAAACUCAGAGCCCAGGGCCCAGCUCUGGAAGCCUCCAAGACCCUGCCACUGCCCACCCCAUAGGUGCCCCCCCCUCCCAAGGGCUCAGGCCACUGACAGGAGGCCUUGUCUCAGGCAAAGGGAGAAGGUGCAGAGAAACCAGCCAGAGGGGGGCCUGGGCCUGUGGGCAGAGGGUCAGUCCCGGAGGGCCAGGCAGAGUUUGUGGAAGAGGCCACACCCUG
rnacentral:lncRNA from 1 species